CCAAUAGCGUAUAUUAAAGUUGUUGCAGUUAAAAAGCUCGUAGUUGAACUUCGGGGUUCACCCAUUGGUCAGGCUUAAUUGUCUGUACUGGUGAGAUGAGUCUCUACCUUCUGAGGAACUUUCAUGCCAUUUAUUUGGUGUGGUUGGAAAUCAGGACUGUUACUUUGAAAAAAUUAGAGUGUUUAAAGCAGGCUAACGUCUGAAUACAUUAGCAUGGAAUAAUGAAAUAGGACGGAUUGAUUCUAUUUCGUUGGUUUCUAGGGUCACCGUAAUGAUUAAUUGGGAUAGUUGGGGGCAUUAGUAUUCAAUUGUCAGAGGUGAAAUUCUUGGAUUUAUUGAAGACUAACUACUGCGAAAGCAUUUGCCAAGGAUGUUUUCAUUAAUCAAGAACGAAAGUUAGGGGAUCGAAGACGAUCAGAUACCGUCGUAGUCUUAACCAUAAACUAUGCCGACUAGGGAUCGGACGCAGUUAAUUUUAUAAUGACGUGUUCGGCACCUUACG
rnacentral:rRNA from 1 species